rnacentral:rRNA from 1 species
AGUGAACGCUGGCGGUAGGCCUAACACAUGCAAGUCGAACGGCAGCACAGUAAGAGCUUGCUCUUACGGGUGGCGAGUGGCGGACGGGUGAGGAAUACAUCGGAAUCUACUUUUUCGUGGGGGAUAACGUAGGUAAACUUACGCUAAUACCGCAUACGACCUACGGGUGAAAGCAGGGGAUCUUCGGACCUUGCGCGAUUGAAUGAGCCGAUGUCGGAUUAGCUAGUUGGCGGGGUAAGGGCCCACCAAGGCGACGAUCCGUAGCUGGUCUGAGAGGAUGGUCAGCCACACUGGAACUGAAACACGGUCCAGACUCCUACGGGAGGCAGCAGUGGGGAAUAUUGGACAAUGGGCGCAAGCCUGAUCCAGCCAUACCGCGUGGGUGAAGAAGGCCUUCGGGUUGUAAAGCCCUUUUGUUGGGAAAGAAAAGCAGCAGGUUAAUACCCCGCUGUUCUGACGGUACCCAAAGAAUAAGCACCGGCUAACUUCGUG